CAGCUUCGGGAGCACGUUUGCAGCGUUCCAACUUACGAAGAACAAGGGCAUCAGUUGCUUCGUUCUUUCUUGGUCUGCCACAUCUCCUUUUCUUGUUGGGGGCAGCUUUGGGAGCACAGUUGAAGGACUUGGACUGAUGAAGGUGAAGAGAAUCGAUUUCGUUCUCCGCCGAUGUGCCUUGUUUAGAGGUGUCAGCUCCCUGAUGUUUACGGAUAAGUGCCAUUUUCCUUCUUACGUAACACAACGGUCCAAAGGUCACCAGAAGGGCUCUUCAGAGUUGCUUUGUCAGCCGCUUCAUUCACUAGAUGGUUCAUAAAGUGCGGUGGGAUUUCCUGCAAGUAAUGAUUGCAAAGAAAGGAGGAGAAGAUAGAAAUUGACAGCUUCUGAAUAAAGUGAACACACAAACAUAAAGCGAAAAGAGGAAGAUCUAACUUACCAACUCCACACUUGCUGAACCUUUGAUAAUCUUGUAGAAGGAAGGUCCAUCAUCCGCAAACACACUCUUGAAAUUUUUUCUCACUGGUACCAACUCCAUGGUUGAUGUUGCAUGUGAGCUUCAGAGGGUUUUGGGAGGAGGCAGGGAUGAAUAUAUAUGUAUGAUGAGUUGUCAAGGCAGCUUAGGAAGAGGGACAGAACAGGCUUAUGUAGCAAGCGUGUUGCCAAGUGUUGAAUAUAUAUACAUGUGUAAUGUAUAAACUAGUGAUGGGUGUAAAUGCGACGUGUUUGUAAUUUCAUAUUUUAAAUUUUGAAUUCUUUGAUGAUUGAGGGGUAAUUUGAUGAAUGAGGAAAAUUAUUUAGUUA